rnacentral:snRNA from 1 species
AUGCAUGAACCAACAGAUUAAAAGAUAGUGCAAGGCUUAUCCAUUGCACUGUGGAUAUGCUGAACCCUGUGAUUUCCCCAAAUGUGGGAAACUCAACUGCAUAAUUUGUGGUAGUGGGGGACUGCAUUCAUGCUCUCCCCUG